rnacentral:rRNA from 1 species
AACGAACGCUGGCGGCAUGCCUAACACAUGCAAGUCGAACGAGACCUUCGGGUCUAGGGGCGCACGGGUGCGUAACGCGGGGGAACCUGCCCGUAGGUUCGGAAUAACUCCCCGAAAGGGGUGCUAAUACCGGAGAAUGUCUUCGGACCAAAGAUUUAUCGCCGUUGGCUGGGCCCGCGUUGGAUUAGGUAGUUGGUAGGGUAAAAGCCUACCAAGGCGACGAUCCAUAGCUGGUCUGAGAGGAUGAUCAGCCACACUGGGACUGAGACACGGACCAGACUCCUACGGGAGGCAGCAGUGGGGAAUAUUGGACAAUGGGCGAAAGCCUGAUCCAGCAAUGCCGCGUGAGUGAUGCAGGCCUUAGGGUUGUAAAGCUCUUUUACCCGGGAUGAUAAUGACAGUACCGGGAGAAUAAGCUCCGGCUAACUACGUG